rnacentral:rRNA from 1 species
UGAACGUCGAACGAGGUCGCCUUCGGGCAAUGACCAAGUGGCGAACGGGUGCGUAACACGUGAGAAACCUGCCCCGAAGACUGGGACAACCACGGGAAACUGUGGCUAAUACCAGAUGCCCUCCGCUGAUCGCAUGAUCGGCAGAGGAAAUGCUCCGGCGCUUCGGGAGGGUCUCGCGGCCUAUCAGCUUGUUGGUGAGGUAACGGCUCACCAAGGCAUCGACGGGUAGCUGGUCUGAGAGGACGAUCAGCCACACUGGGACUGAGACACGGCCCACACUCCUGCGGGAGGCAGCAGUGGGGAAUCUUGCGCAGUGGGCGAAAGCCUGACGCAGCAACGCCGCGUGGGGGAUGAAGGCUCUCGGGUUGUAAACCCCUUUCAGCAGGGACGAAAUUGACGGUACCUGCAGAAGAAGCCCCGGCCAACUACGUGCCAGCAGCCGCGGUGACACGUAGGGGGCGAGCGUUGUCCGGAAUUAUUGGGCGUAAAGAGCUCGUAGGCGGUUUAGUAAGUCAGAUGUGAAAGGUUGGGGCUCAACCCUAAGACUGCAUCCGAUACUGCUAUGACUAGAGUCCGGUAGAGGAGUGUGGAAUUCCUGGUGUAGCGGUGAAAUGCGCAGAUAUCAGGAGGAACACCGACGGCGAAGGCAGCACUCUGGGCCGGUACUGACGCUCAGGAGCGAAAGCGUGGGUAGCAAACAGGAUUAGAUACCCUGGUAGUCCACGCCGUAAACGUUGGGCACUAGGUGUGGGGCUUAUCAACGGGUUCCGUGCCGUAGCUAACGCAUUAAGUGCCCCGCCUGGGGAGUACGGCCGCAAGGCUAAAACUCAAAGGAAUUGACG